UGUUUCCUAGUUUCAAAGUUUCCUUAUUAGGAUUUAAUAUUUAUUAUUUCCAUUAAAAUAGGAUUCAAAGCACAUCAUAUUUGGGAUAGGAUUUCCCUAUACAUAUAAGGGUAAAUUUUGUUAUUUUUAGUUUGAAUAAAAAUAUUAUGAAUAUUAUUUGAGAGGUUUCUAAACCCUCAGGGGUUGGCCUGCUGGCAAUUGACUUGAGCCUUGGGGUUUGCUCCCUUUCAAGGUCUCAAGUUCGAAACCCACUGGGUGCAAACAAUUUCUGAGGGCCAUCGGACUGGGUAAAACCUGAAUUAACCGUGGUGCACUUGCGGGAAACUCCUUGCCGAGGGCCUGUGCACCCCGGGAUUAGUCGGGGCUCAAAGAGACUCGGACACCCGGUGCAAAUCAAAAAAAAAUUAUUUGAGAGGUUUCUCUUCUUUACACAUUUGUGAGUGUUUACUUGGAAUUUAUCUUACAAACAAUUCUUUAA
rnacentral:lncRNA from 1 species